UGCUGGGUCUACCUUGCUUCUGGGCACACC
rnacentral:piRNA from 1 species